rnacentral:snRNA from 1 species
GUGCUUCAAACCCGGCACAUACUAAAGUGGAGCGAUGCAGAGAAGAUUAGCAUGGCCCCUGGCAUGGGAUGCAUAGGUGUGGCGUUCCAUAUUUUU